UUUCAAAAAAGCUCAACCACUCACCUACCAACACACAAGACACAAAACAAAUCAUUUGCCCUAACUAGUAAAGGAGAUUAAACAU
rnacentral:rRNA from 1 species